rnacentral:lncRNA from 1 species
CCGUUGGGCCGGGCCAGGUCGCGGACAACGUCGACCGUUUGUUUAAGAAGCGUGGACUCUUGUCCUGAGUGCACCGAGGCUUUCAGCCUGCGGGACAGUGGUGCGAUUUGCAUUAGAGAAAGGGAGAUGCCAUGUGCUGGCCCAGCACUCCAACAGGGGCCUGACCUCUAGGAACGGGACACUGGAGGAAGCCUAGACAUCUGAACAAAUCAAGUCAUCCAGAUCCACGGUCAGCUCCUGCCCCGACUUGGCCUUCCUCCUGCUGGGCUGGCCCACGGACCUCGGGAACCUGCCCUGGCUGUGGGUGACCUGCAGCCUAUCUCCCAGGACUAUGGAAGCCCCAUGCAGGAACAUGGUUCUGACACUUUGGGGAUUAUACCCUAAGCUUAAAGGACUGGAAAAGCCCCUGAAGUCCCGAGACCACAACCCUCCACCUUCUAAAGAUAAGACAAGUCACUGAAGGUCUCAGAACUGUGGCCCAUUCACCCCUUCCCUCAAGACAAGAGUGUGGCCAAGCAUCAAUCUCACCCCCAGAGACCAGACGGUGUCCAGGUCUUGGGCAGACGAAACCUGCUCCUUGGGGAUGGUCUUCCUGGCUGUGCUUCCAAAGGGCUGGCCUGCAAUCAGCUGGUUUUCACUUGAUCCUUUCGGGGUUUGCAUUAUAUCUGACUGAAGGAAUGAACUGGGAGAGAACAGCAGAGCCGCAGCGGAAUGUGGAAAGGCCCACGUCCAGACUGUUCCCAUUCUGAUUUAAAAGCCUGAUGAAGGAACAGCUGAACUCAGAGAAACAGCAGGUGAAAAGGAAAGGUCCUGUGAGGGUACAGUGAGAAGAUGGCCAUCUACCAGCCAGGAGGAAAGGCCUAACAAGAAACCAACUCUGCUGGCACCUUGAUCGUGAACUCCCGCCCUCUAGAACUGUGAGAAAAUAAACGUCUGUUUAAGCCACCUGGUCUGUGGUAUUUUGUUAUGGAAGCCCGAGCAGACCAAUAUGCCUACUAAACUUUGAGAAGCACCAGUGUGGAAGACAUUCUAAUAUCUCCUGACUGUACCAAAUUGGGAGCCUAUAGUUAAUUGUGUAGUUAAUUGUAUUCCAAAAUACUCAUUUGGAAGUCAUUUGGUAAGAAAUUCACACAUAAAAAAAGGUUAUGCUAGCAAAUAACAGAUGAAAUGUAAAAGCAAUUAUCUUUGCAAUGUAGCAUGCAUUUAUAGUCAUUGUUAAGUAAUUCUGUGUCUUAGAUUACAAACUUGAAAUUGCAGAAGAGCAAAAUGCCACAUAUGUGAUGCCCGGAUCGUAUCCAUUCCACAAACACAAUUCAACCUGCUUGUUUUUAUACACACACAUGGAAAAUGUAUUCCACUAGCAUAAAUUAUGUAUGCAGAUGAAAA